UCAACGUUAAAAACAAACCGCUUUUUAAACGUUACAUUUUCAACGUUGAAUAAGCGUUUAAAUUUAAACGUAUAUUAUCUUCUCAAAAAAAUGCGUUUAUUAAAUGUUGAAAAUAAGUACGCAAAUAAUCACUGUAAAAACGUCGCAAAGGUAAUGGUUAAUCAACGUUAGACAUUAGCUGCUUUUUCAACGAAUUUAAACUAUUUGAAAAACAACACUUAUUCAACGUUAUUUCAACGUUGGUUGAAAAUGUGGUUUGAAGCAGAGGCAGUUGCUCCAUCUUGUUCGAAAAAAGAUGGAUGGUUAUUUUGGCCAACUUGUGUUCAUGCAAUGAAAGCUACCUAUAAUAAU